rnacentral:rRNA from 1 species
UCGAGUGGUUGAGUGGAGCUUGCUCUUGAUUCAGCGGCGGACGGGUGAGUAUGCCUAGGAAUCUGCCUGGUAGUGGGGGACAACGUUUCGAAAGGAACGCUAAUACCGCAUACGUCCUACGGGAGAAAGUGGGGGAUCUUCGGACCUCACGCUAUCAGAUGAGCCUAGGUCGGAUUAGCUAGUUGGUGAGGUAAAGGCUCACCAAGGCGACGAUCCGUAACUGGUCUGAGAGGAUGAUCAGUCACACUGGAACUGAGACACGGUCCAAACUUAUACGGGAGGCAGCAGUGGGGAAUAUUGGACAAUGGGCGAAAGCCUGAUCCAGCCAUGCCGCGUGUGUGAAGAAGGUCUUCGGAUUGUAAAGCACUUUAAGUUGGGAGGAAGGGCAGUAAGUUAAUACCUUGCUGUUUUGACGUUACCAACAGAAUAAGCACCGGCUAACUUCGUGCCAGCAGCCGCGGUAAUACGAAGGGUGCAAGCGUUAAUCGGAAUUACUGGGCGUAAAGCGCGCGUAGGUGGUUCGUUAAGUUGGAUGUGAAGCCCCGGGCUCAACCUGCGAACUGCAUCCAAACUGGCGAGCUAGAGUAUGGCAGAGGGUGGUGGAUUUCCUGUGUAGCGUGAAUGCGUAGAUAUAGGA